CCUACGGGAGGCAGCAGUGGGGAAUAUUGGACAAUGGGGGCAACCCUGAUCCAGCCAUGCCGCGUGUGUGAAGAAGGCCCUCGGGUUGUAAAGCACUUUCAGUGAGGAAGAACGCCUGGUGGUUAAUACCCAUCAGGAAAGACAUCACUCACAGAAGAAGCACCGGCUAACUCCGUGCCAGCAGCCGCGGUAAUACGGAGGGUGCGAGCGUUAAUCGGAAUUACUGGGCGUAAAGCGCGCGUAGGUGGCUUGAUAAGCCGGUUGUGAAAGCCCCGGGCUCAACCUGGGAACGGCAUCCGGAACUGUCAAGCUAGAGUGCAGGAGAGGAGGGUAGAAUUCCCGGUGUAGCGGUGAAAUGCGUAGAGAUCGGGAGGAAUACCAGUGGCGAAGGCGGCCUUCUGGACUGACACUGACACUGAGGUGCGAAAGCGUGGGUAGCAAACAGGAUUAGAUACCCGAGUAGUC
rnacentral:rRNA from 1 species